UCAGGAAUUAGCUCAGUUUGGUAGAGCGUCAGAUUUUUAAUCUGAAGAUCGUAGGUUCAAAUCCUACAUUCCUGAU
rnacentral:tRNA from 1 species